UAAACCAUGCUGUCAAUGGCCAGCUACUUU
rnacentral:piRNA from 1 species